rnacentral:rRNA from 1 species
CAUGGCCUUUAGCUAAACAAGUAUUAAAGGUCCUGCCUGCCCAGUGAACACACAUUCAACGGCCGCGGUAUCCUAACCGUGCAAAGGUAGCGUAAUCAUUUGUCCCCUAAAUAGGGACUUGUAUGAACGGCUAAAUGAGGGCCCACCUGUCUCCUUUGGCCCCCCAAUGAAACUGAUCUUCUAGUCCAAAAGCUAGAAUAAAUACAUAAGACGAGAAGACCCUGUGGAGCUUUAAACACACCCCGCCAGCAACCUGCCCAGCGACAUUUGUUUUAAGUUGGGGCGACUACGGAGUAAACAAAACCUCCAUGAACUAGGCUAACCACCCAACAGGCACACAUGCCAAAAAUUGACCCAGUACUACUGACUAACGAACCAAGUUACCCCAGGGAUAACAGCGCAAUCCCCUUAAAGAGUCCCUAUCGCUAAGGGGGCUUACGACCUCGAUGUUGGAUCAGGACACCCAGGCGGCGCAGCCACUGCUAAAGGUUCGUUUGUUCAACGAUUAAAGUCCUACGUGAUCUGAGU